GACGAACCGUGCGAACGUUAUUCGGAAUCACUGGGCUUAAAGCGCGUGUAGGCGGCCCGGGACGUCCGUCGCUGAAAUCCCCCGGCUCAACCGGGGAAGGGGCGCGGCUACGACCGGGCUGGAGGGGGGUAGGGGAAUCGGGAACUUCCGGUGGAGCGGUGAAAUGCGUUGAGAUCGGAAGGAACGCCCGUGGCGAAAGCGCGGUUCUGGACCCCACCUGACGCUGAGACGCGAAAGCCAGGGGAGCGAACGGG
rnacentral:rRNA from 1 species